rnacentral:misc_RNA from 1 species
UUCCCAGCCAGUUUAGUUUAGUGGAAGCUUUUCUUAGCCAAAACCAGUUCAUCUGUGGAAAACACAUUUCAGUUUCACCAAGCCCCAGCCCCCAGCUCUCAUUUGCACUUGCACUUGCCACUCUUGGCUGGCUGGCCUUAGUGCGCUGUUCGCUUUUUGGUGUCGACGGAGAUUCAUCAUGCAACUGGUAUAUCGCGAACUCGAUGCGGACAUUGUGCGGCGCACCAAUGCGGUGUUUCCGGCUCAGAACUGCUUUGUGGAGGUGCUACCCGAUCAGUUGAUAAUUCCCAGGAAAUAUGUUGAGCUGGGCGAAUCGAUACGAUCGCUGCCCGUGUACGAGGAUGACGUGUGGAUGAUAUCCUAUCCCCGCACGGGGUCAACCUGGGCACAGGAGAUGGUCUGGCUACUGGGUCACGAGUUGGACUAUGUGGCAGCUGAGCAGGACAUUCGGAUGCGAUCGCCACUCCUUGAGCUAUCGGCACUGUUCAGUACAGAUCAUCAUGAGAUGGUGGCUAAGGCCUUUGGCAACACCGUUGAGCUGGUUCGCAAUUUGCCACGGCCCCGCUACGCCCGCUCGCACCUUUCCUGGCAACUGCUGCCCGAACACUUCGACACGGUGAAGCCCAGGAUUGUGUACACGGCGAGAAACCCCAAGGACCUUUGCGUGUCCUACUACCAUUACUGCAAGUUGCUGCACGGCAUCAGUGGGGACUUCGAACAGUUUGUGGAGCUGUUCCUGGGCGGCCACACACCCAUGGGCUCUUACUGGAAGCAUGUGUUGCCCUUUUGGAAGCGCAGCAACGAUGAGAAUGUACUCUUCAUCAAAUACGAGGAUAUGAUUACCGAUCUUCCCGCCGUGGUUCGUCGCUGUGGCCGCUUCCUGAAUGCCACACAUCUGCUGAACGAGACCGGCAUGAAGCGCAUCUGUGAGCAUCUCACGUUCGACAAAAUGCGCCAAAACAAGGCGGUAAAUCUGGAAAAGGUGCUGCCCGCGUCCUCGACCAAAUUCAUACGCAACGGGAAAAUUGGCGACUGGCGCAAUCAUAUGAGUGAGGAGAUGUCCGAGCGUUUUGAUGCUUGGAGCGAGCAGCAUGUACGUGGUUCUGGUUUACGAUUUGACUACGAUUAAGCCCUUCACCUAUUAUUAGUACAUUAAAUAAUCAAAUCAUUAUUUCGUUAUUGUAGCUUAGUGUACUUAAUUGAAAUACAAUUAAAUGGUAAUUCCUUCACAAAAGGAAAUUUUGAUUGCUUCCUGCUAUCGUGUUCAAGAAUGUAUUAAUAACAAUGUAACACGCGUACAAAUUAGCGCGCAAAGUUUUUUCCAGCUCCCAUAUUGAAAUGACUCAUGUCAGGGAGCUGUCGGCGGCGGCCACCUAGGCUAGGGAAUUCCUCAUCGCUAUCAAGGGUCCCUCCGUAGACACUGUGGUCUCUGGGCACGUAGGCCCUUGAUACGGACUGAUGGCUGCUACUCGGUGAUAAGUCACGCGAUCCCAUCUCCUUCUGGAUUCGCGGUGGCGCUGAGUAGUAGGAAUCAAGCGAAAUCUCAUCAAAGUUUGUCGAAGAGGACGCAGGAGUAAUAGUGUAGUUUGGCUUGACCUUAAGGGGAAUGUGCUUCCCAGGCUGGAGUGGAAUGGCCAGGUCUGCACACAUAUAGUCGCUAAAGGUGAAUCCCCAACGCUUGACCAUACUGUUG